AGAGUUUGAUCCUGGCUCAGGACGAACGCUGGCGGCGUGCUUAACACAUGCAAGUCGAACGGAAAGGCCCUUCGGGGUACUCGAGUGGCGAACGGGUGAGUAACACGUGGGUGAUCUGCCCUGCACUUUGGGAUAAGCCUGGGAAACUGGGUCUAAUACCGAAUAGGACCGCGCGCUUCAUGGUGUGUGGUGGAAAGCUUUUGCGGUGUGGGAUGGGCCCGCGGCCUGUCAGCUUGUUGGUGGGGUAAUGGCCUACCAAGGCGACGACGGGUAACCGGCCUGAGAGGGUGACCGGCCACACUGGGACUGAGAUACGGCCCAGACUCCUACGGGAGGCAGCAGUGGGGAAUAUUGCACAAUGGGCGCAAGCCUGAUGCAGCGACGCCGCGUGAGGGAUGACGGCCUUCGGGUUGUAAACCUCUUUCACCAGGGACGAAGCGCAAGUGACGGUACCUGGAGAAGAAGCACCGGCCAACUACGUGCCAGCAGCCGCGGUAAUACGUAGGGUGCGAGCGUUGUCCGGAAUUACUGGGCGUAAAGAGCUCGUAGGUGGUUUGUCGCGUUGUUCGUGAAAACUCACAGCUUAACUGUGGGCGUGCGGGCGAUACGGGCAGACUAGAGUACUGCAGGGGAGACUGGAAUUCCUGGUGUAGCGGUGGAAUGCGCAGAUAUCAGGAGGAACACCGGUGGCGAAGGCGGGUCUCUGGGCAGUAACUGACGCUGAGGAGCGAAAGCGUGGGGAGCGAACAGGAUUAGAUACCCUGGUAGUCCAA
rnacentral:rRNA from 1 species